rnacentral:rRNA from 1 species
GACGAACGCUGGCGGCGUGCUUAACACAUGCAAGUCGAACGGAAAGGCCCUGCUUUUGUGGGGUUCUCGAGUGGCGAACGGGUGAGUAACACGUGAGUAACCUGCCCUUGUCUUUGGGAUAACUUCAGGAAACUGGGGCUAAUAUCGGAUAGGAGAUCCUGCUGCAUGGUGGGGGUUGGAAAGUUUCGGCGGUUGGGGAUGGACUCGCGGCUUAUCAGCUUGCUGGUGGGGUAGUGGCUUACCAAGGAUUUGACGGGUAGGCGGCCUGAGAGGGUGACCGGCCACAUUGGUACUGCGAUACGGACCAGACGCGUACGGGAGGCAGCAGUGGGAAGCAUUACACAAUGGGCGGAAGCCUGUUGCAGCAACGUCGCGUGCGGGAUGACGGCCUUCGGGUUGUAAACCGCUUUCGCCUGUGACGAAGCGGGAGUGACGGUAAUGGGUAAAGAAGCACCGGCUAACUACGUG